rnacentral:rRNA from 1 species
GACGAACGCUGGCGGCGUGCUUAACACAUGCAAGUCGAACGGAAAGGCCCUGCUUUUGUGGGGUGCUCGAGUGGCGAACGGGUGAGUAACACGUGAGUAACCUGCCCUUGACUUUGGGAUAACUUCAGGAAACUGGGGCUAAUACCGGAUAGGAGCUCCUGCUGCAUGGUGGGGGUUGGAAAGUUUCGGCGGUUGGGGAUGGACUCGCGGCUUAUCAGCUUGUUGGUGGGGUAGUGGCUUACCAAGGCUUUGACGGGUAGCCGGCCUGAGAGGGUGACCGGCCACAUUGGGCCUGAGGUACGGCCCAGACUCCUACGGGAGGCAGCAGUGGGGAAUAUUGCACAAUGGGCGGAGGCCUGAUGCAGCAACGCCGCGUGCGGGAUGACGGCCUUCGGGUUGUAAACCGCUUUCGCCUGUGACGAAGCGUGAGUGACGGUAAUGGGUAAAGAAGCACCGGCUAACUACGUG